rnacentral:rRNA from 1 species
UACAGAGGUCCCGAGCGUUGUUCGGAUUCACUGGGCGUAAAGGGCGCGUAGGCGGCCUGCUAAGUCGGACGUGAAAUCCCCCGGCUCAACCGGGGAACUGCGUCCGAUACUGGUGGGCUCGAAUCCGGGAGAGGGAUGUGGAAUUCCAGGUGUAGCGGUGAAAUGCGUAGAUAUCUGGAGGAACACCGGUGGCGAAGGCGGCAUCCUGGACCGGUAUUGACGCUGAGGCGCGAAAGCCAGGGGAGCAAACGGG